rnacentral:rRNA from 3 species
CAGGACGAACGCUGGCGGCGUGCCUAAUACAUGCAAGUAGAACGCUGAAGAGAGGAGCUUGCUCCUUCUUGGAUGAGUUGCGAACGGGUGAGUAACGCGUAGGUAACCUGCCUUGUAGCGGGGGAUAACUAUUGGAAACGAUAGCUAAUACCGCAUAACAAUGGAUGACACAUGUCAUUUAUUUGAAAGGGGCAAUUGCUCCACUACAAGAUGGACCUGCGUUGUAUUAGCUAGUAGGUGAGGUAACGGCUCACCUAGGCGACGAUACAUAGCCGACCUGAGAGGGUGAUCGGCCACACUGGGACUGAGACACGGCCCAGACUCCUACGGGAGGCAGCAGUAGGGAAUCUUCGGCAAUGGGGGCAACCCUGACCGAGCAACGCCGCGUGAGUGAAGAAGGUUUUCGGAUCGUAAAGCUCUGUUGUAAGUCAAGAACGAGUGUGAGAGUGGAAAGUUCACACUGUGACGGUAGCUUACCAGAAAGGGACGGCUAACUACGUGCCAC